rnacentral:rRNA from 1 species
AGGAUAAACGCUGGCGGCGUGCAUGAGACAUGCAAGUCGAACGGACACUUGGGGCUUGCUCCAAGUGUUAGUGGCGGACGGCUGAGUAACGCGUAGGUGACCUGCCCCGAAGUGGGGAGUAACUGCCCGAAAGGGUGGCUAAUACCGCAUGUGGUGGUGUGUUCAUUCACACCAGUAAAGCCGCAAGGCGCUUCGGGAGGGGCCUGCGUCCGAUUAGCUCGUUGGUGGGGUAACGGCUCACCAAGGCGACGAUCGGUAGGUGGUCUGAGAGGACGAUCACCCAGACUGGGACUGAGACACGGCCCAGACUCCUACGGGAGGCAGCAGUCGGGAAUUUUGCGCAAUGGACGAAAGUCUGACGCAGCAACGCCGCGUGAGGGAUGAAGGCCUUCGGGUUGUAAACCUCUUUUAUCAGGGAAGAUAAUGACGGUACCUGAUGAAUAAGUCACGGCUAACUACGUGCCAGCAGCCGC